rnacentral:rRNA from 1 species
CGCAUCUGUGCAUGCAGCAUAUCAAUAAGCGGAGGAAAAGAAACUAACAAGGAUUCCCCUAGUAACGGCGAGUGAAGCGGGAAGAGCUCAAAUUUGAAAUCUUAAAGGGUUUCCCUUUACGAAUUGUAGUUUAAAGAAGUGUUUUCUGUUGAGGUUUUGGUAAAAGUUCUUUGGAAUAGGACAUCAUAGAGGGUGAGAAUCCCGUAUUUGACCUUUACUUUCAACUUUGUGAUACACUUUCAAAGAGUCGGAUUGUUUGGGAAUGCAGUCCAAAAUGGGUGGUAAAUUUCAUCUAAAGCUAAAUAUUGGCGAGAGACCGAUAGCGAACAAGUACCGUGAGGGAAAGAUGAAAAGAACUUUGAAAAGAGAGUUAAACAGUACGUGAAAUUGUCAAAAGGGAAGCGUUUGACACCAGUGUUGUUUUUCUGAAAAUCAAUUAAAGAACUGUUUAUGCUAAGCUGUUUAGACUUUAUCAGCUAUCUGUUUAGUUUUGAGCUUUUCUUUAAUGCACUUUUCAGUUAACAAGUCAACAUCAAUUUCUUUUGCUGUAAAAAAGCUUGAGGAAGGUGGCUUGAGAUUCGUCUUAAGUGUUUAUAGCCUCUUGCCUAUGCAGUCGGAGAGAUUGAGGUCUGCAGCGUAGAUCCUUCGGGGCUAAAUGCAUUUGUGCUAAGUUAUAGCAUUUUAUAGACAACUUGUUGACCAUGAUUUGUCUUGUAGCUUACUCGCUUAUGUUAUUUUACCUACGCUUAGGAUGUUGAAUCUGUGCGAGACUAC